ensembl:lncRNA
GAGGCAGGUAGCCUAGUGGUUAGAGUGUAGAGGCGGCAGGUAGCCUAGUGGUUAGAGUGUAGAGGAGGCAGGUAGCCUAGUGGGUAGAGUGUAGAGGAGGCAGGUAGACUAGUGGUUAGAGCGUAGAGGCGGCAGGUAGCCUAGUGGGUAGAGUGUAGAGGUGGCAGGGUAGCCUAGUGGUUUGAGUGUAGAGGCGGCAGGGUAGCCUAGUGGUUUGAGUGUAGAGGCGGCAGGGUAGCCUAGUGGUUUGAGUGUAGAGGCGGCAGGGUAGCCUAGUGGUUAGAGUGUAGAGGCGGCAGGGUAGCCUAGUGGUUAGAGUGUAGAGGCGGCAGGUAGCCUAGUGGGUAGAGUGUAGAGGCGGCAGGUAGCCUAGUGGGUAGAGUGUAGAGGCGGCAGGUAGCCUAGUGGGUAGAGUGUAGAGGCGGCAGGUAGCCUAGUGGGUAGAGUGUAGAGGCGGCGGGUAG